rnacentral:rRNA from 1 species
UGGGGAAUAUUGCACAAUGGGCGCAAGCCUGAUGCAGCCAUGCCGCGUGUGUGAAGAAGGCCUUCGGGUUGUAAAGCACUUUCAGCGAGGAGGAAGGUGGUGAACUUAAUACGUUCAUCAAUUGACGUUACUCGCAGAAGAAGCACCGGCUAACUCCGUGCCAGCAGCCGCGGUAAUACGGAGGGUGCAAGCGUUAAUCGGAAUUACUGGGCGUAAAGCGCACGCAGGCGGUUUGUUAAGUCAGAUGUGAAAUCCCCCGGGCUCAACCUGGGAACUGCAUUUGAAACUGGCAAGCUAGAGUCUCGUAGAGGGGGGUAGAAUUCCAGGUGUAGCGGUGAAAUGCGUAGAGAUCUGGAGGAAUACCGGUGGCGAAGGCGGCCCCCCUGGACGAAGACUGACGCUCAGGUGCG